rnacentral:tRNA from 1 species
GCGCCCGUAGCUCAGCUGGAUAGAGCAACGGCCUUCUAAGCCGUAGGUCGCAGGUUCGAAUCCUGCCGGGUGCGCCA